rnacentral:rRNA from 1 species
GACAGAGGGUGCAAACGUUGUUCGGAAUUACUGGGCGUAAAGCGCGUGUAGGCGGCCCGGAAAGUCGGAUGUGAAAGCCCUGGGCUUAACCUAGGAAGUGCAUUCGAAACUGCCGGGCUUGAGUUCUGGAGAGGAAGGCGGAAUUCUCGGUGUAGAGGUGAAAUUCGUAGAUAUCGAGAGGAACACCGGUGGCGAAGGCGGCCUUCUGGACAGUGACUGACGCUGAGACGCGAAAGCGUGGGGAGCAAACAGG